GCAGCAUAUGAUUCAUGGCAGGUAAGCACUUUACUAGUGCUUUAUGUACACGUUGAUUUUUUAAUACAUAAAAUGGCUUUUUUUUUCAUCUCAUUAAUUAUUGCUGUAAGAUGUCUAUACCCAUAGAGGGAUACACUAGUUGUCAGAAUCAUUGGUCUAAUGCUUCUUGUUCUUAAAUAUAUAUUGAACAUUUUUCUCACAUAAGACUCCCCCAUUGUCUUAGUGUUAAAAUUGAAAGGAAAAAAUGGAUGCUUCUUUUCUUUGAAGUGGAAAACAACUCUUGUGCUAUGUACAAAGUAGAAUUUCAGGAUGUCAAUUGCAAACUUUUGCUUCAUGUCCUUCUUCUUCUUCUUCCUUAAACCCAUAGCAUUGUUUUCUCUAAAUAUUUAUGUAAUUAAUUUCUAUUAACAGCGCAGAGGCAUUCUAAUUUUUCUUGUAGCAGGUGGUUCUAUUUGCAAAUUUUAAGUUUUGUUUUGUGUUUUUAAUCCUUCAUAUUAUUCAACUGAUUCAGAUUAAGAAUAUUUUGG
rnacentral:misc_RNA from 1 species